CUACGGGAGGCUGCAGUGGGGAAUAUUGGGCAAUGGAGGAAACUCUUACCCAGCAAUGCCGCGUGAAUGAAGAAGGUCUUAGGAUUGUAAAGUUCUUUUAUUGGUGACGAACAAAAUGACGGUAGCCAAUGAAUAAGCCCCGGCUAACUACGUGCCAGCAGCCGCGGUAAUACGUAGGGGGCAAGCGUUGUCCGGAAUGACUGGGCGUAAAGGGUGUGUAGGCGGUUUAUCAAGUUGAAAGUGUAAUCCCCGGGCUUAACUCGGGUGCUGCUUUCAGAACUGAUAGACUUGAGUGCAGUAGAGAAAAGUGGAAUUCCUAGUGUAGCGGUGGAAUGCGUAGAUAUUAGGAGGAACACCAGUGGCGAAGGCGACUUUUUGGACUGUAACUGACGCUGAGGCACGAAAGUGUGGGGAGCAAACAGGAUUAGAUACCCCAGUAGUC
rnacentral:rRNA from 1 species